rnacentral:rRNA from 1 species
GACGAACGCUGGCGGCGUGGAUUAGGCAUGCAAGUCGAACGGUAGGAUACCUUCGGGUAUCUGAGAGUGGCGAACGGGUGAGUAACACGUAGGUGAUCUACCCUCAAGAUUGGGACAACCCAGGGAAACUUGGGCUAAUACCGGAUGAAAGCAGCAGUGAUGUUGUUUGAAAGGUGGCGUAAGCUGCCGUUUGGGGAUGAGCCUGCGCUCUAUUAGUUAGUUGGCGGGGUAAAGGCCCACCAAGGCGAUGAUAGAUAGGCGGCCUUAACGGGUGGUCGCCCACACUGGGAUUGAGAUACGGCCCAGACUCCUACGGGAGGCAGCAGUCGAGAAUAGUCUACAAUGGCCGAAAGGCUGAUAGUGCGACGCCGCGUGAACGAAGAAGCCCUUCGGGUGUAAAGUUCUUUUAUAUGUGAGCAGUGCUUUCUAUGUGAACAGCAUGGGGAGAGAGAUAUUAGCAUAUGAAUAAGCAACGGCUAACUCCGUGCCAGCA